rnacentral:rRNA from 1 species
GACGAACGCUGGCGGCGUGCUUAACACAUGCAAGUCGAACGGAAAGGCCCUGCUUUUGUGGGGUGCUCGAGUGGCGAACGGGUGAGUAACACGUGAGUAACCUGCCCUUGACUUUGGGAUAACUUCAGGAAACUGGGGCUACUACCGGAUAGGAGCUCCUGCUGCAUGGUGGGGGUUGGAAAGUUUCGGCGGUUGGGGCUGGACUCGCGGCUUAUCAGCUUGUUGGUGGGGUAGUGGCUUACCAAGGCUUUGGCGGGUAGCCGGCCUGGGAGGGUGACCGGCCACAUUGGGACUGAGAGACGGCCCAGACUCCUACGGGAGGCAGCAGUGGGGAAUAUUGCACAAUGGGCGGAAGCCUGAUGCAGCGACGCCGCGUGCGGGAUGACGGCCUUCGGGUUGUAAACCGCUUUCGCCUGUGACGAAGCGUGAGUGACGGUAAUGGGUGAAGAAGCACCGGCUAACUACGUG